rnacentral:misc_RNA from 1 species
UUCUGGUCCAGGGCCAACAUUUCCUGGGAAAUUUGAUGAGAAUAACACUGCCAUCACCCCAACCAUGCUUACAGGCACACACAGCCAAGUAGAAUCAAACCUUGGCAGGGAUGUUGCUUGCAAAGCAGCAGAGCAGCAGCCUGAAUUAGGAAACAAGGUUAUGCCUCUUCCUGUGUCCUUGCAGACUGCAAUGCCUACUCCUGUUCAAAGUGAUGGUGUUGUCGCACUUCCUCUUCAGCAACCUGUUUCUGAUGCACAGUCAGCUGACUUUCCCAUCACAAGUGAUACAAUGAACCAGCAGGAGGAGCUGAUCAUUGGAGGAGGAACAAUAAGCAUCUCCAGUGUUUACUCUCAAGGGUUGUUGAGCAAUCUUACACAAGCAUUGCAGAGUGCUGGUGUUGAUUUGUCACAG